CCUGGCGCGAGCUUCUUCCUGACGCUAUUCCCCUCCCCCCGGGUCCGCGCAGGGAGUCGGGCUCCGGACCGCCACCGCCACCUCGACCGCUGCUGCCGCCAUCGCCUUGUUCCUCUACCCCCGUCAUGGCCGAGGAGCUGUCCGCGGCCACGGCCUACACAGAAGAUGAUUUCUACUGCCCGGUCUGUCAGGAAGUGCUCAAAACGCCAGUGCGGACCGCGGCCUGUCAGCACGUGUGAGUAGACGACCCCUCCCCCGCGCGGAGCCGGGUGGUCGUUUGGGUUCCUCGUCUGGACCCGGACCUGCGACUGAGGCCUGGAGGGAGUCGAGCCCCCGAGGCCUGCCGGAGCGCCGCCCGCCUCGGGGGCCUGGUCCCGGCGCGUCAGAGCCCGGGGCAGCCCUCCGCCUGAGACCAGGGCCCGCUCGCCGCGCCCCUCCGCCGGAGCUCCCCGCCCCGGUUUUCCUGGGCUUAGCACCCCGGGGCAGGGGUCGGGCCCUCCGGUGGCUUCCAUAGGCCGAGAGGCCCCUGUCCUCCUGGCAGGCCCGGGAGGAAUUGCAGGGAACGUGGAGCCUUUUUGUUUCCUAGCAACCCGAGUGCAGGCGGGGGUGUCGAGUGUCAAACCCGCUAGUGCCGGCACUGGCCGCCCGCCGGCCUCCUGCUUCGCUUUCAAGUUUUUUUUCUUCCUCUUUCAGAACCUUGGCCUGGUCCUCCUUGAUCCAAGAGCUUUUAAUCUAACUUCAGCCCUGCUUCACAGACCACUUUUGGAUCGGUUUUGUUUCAUUUAAAAUUCCAAGAAUCUACUAGGAUGGUCUAAAAUGAAUUUUCUUCUCUUAUGUUAGAACUGACAGGGUUUCCGGAUAUUGAAGUGGUAGUUUCCCUUUGUGUUAUCUUCUGUUCAUUAUUACUCGGUUACUACAAGAGUGGAGGUAAGAAAAGAAGAGUGCUGUUAUGAGGAAUGGACUGAAGAUGAGGUACUAACUCUAGGGGUGAGGGAGAACACAAAGGGAUUAGGUGAGGUCACAUGGUGCUGUUUAACUAGGCUUAUUUAUAGGAACAACCUCCAUCAUUUUGUAGACUACCAGACUGUCGGCAAGGAUUGAAAGGAGACCUUCUUGAAAAGGUAUACAGUAAACUGACCAACCUGGCUGAUGACCAGAGUGCCUGGGGAGUUUUUAAGUAAACAUACCAAUUCCCAGGCUCCAUUCCAAACUUGCAAAAGAAUUUCUGGCAGGUGGGAGCUGGAAGUAUUUUUAUAUUUAAAAAAAUUGAAUCGGGCUUAAGUUCUGAGCUUGCAGACACAGAAUUGAACAAGUUUCUGGACAUAUUUCUCCAUUCACUUUUUUUUUUUUUUUUGAGAGUCGGGGUUCUAUAAUUUUGUGAAUAAUUGGUAGAAUUUUGGGUCCCUAAUCACAAAUGUUACUACAGAUAACUUUUGGUAAUCUUCCCUGUACCUUAUUAACUCUACUAUUUUAUCCCUUGAUUGUGCUAGUUGUGUGAAACGACCAUGUAGUUUUUCAGGAUUGAAACAUCAGUUAUGAUUUUUGUGUCUUAAAUUCUCUCAUCAUUUGUUGCAACAAAUGCAGGUUGUUGAAAAAGUAUUUUAAGAUGUCUAGGACACAGAAUACACUUUCUGUCUUUAAUGGUCAUUAUUCAUUAUUAUAACUUGAACCUUUCCUAUAUUUAAGAAAAAGUAGUUCUGUGAUGACAAAGAGGGGAAAUAAAAGGAGGAGAGCAGGCAAGAUGAGGAGUUAUAAUAAUUGCUAAGUUUAUAUAUGCAUGGUAGAUAUCAUGGACAGAAUCAUUUCAACUAUUCUUUGGAUCAUUGUCCUCACAGAACUCAUUGUAAUUUUUAGCUUCCCUCAAAAUUCCAUGUAGAUCAUUCUAGUCUAUUUCCUUUAUGGUGCAUUUGAAAUCAAGAACUAUAAUUUGACUUUGACUUCAAAGCUAUAGAAAAGAGUGGAUGUUUUUAAAUUCAAGACCAUUCUCAAAUCAAUUCAUUGGACUUUGAGGCUUCAGUGUGAUCAAAGUAGCUCCUUAUCUCUACUGUCCCCCACAGUUGCUUUAUAGUUCUGACUGAACAAUUAAUUAAAACUAGACAGAGUGAGCCAAAGUUUUAUUUGGCAGGGGUGGUAUUUGUGGAACCAGGGUCUUGAUUGGCUGGAAGGAAUUUUCUGGGAAAUAAGAUUGGGGGGAGAGUUAUUGGAUAUUAAAUUCAGGCCAUUGCAUAUGCCCAGCAACCAUUCUACUGCUGAGCUACAUUGCCAGUCCUAGAAUUAUUUUUUAAGUAAUAAGUUUACUGUGUCAUUUCCCUUUUUUCACCCAAAGGACAGAGCUGUGCCUUUAAUCAAAUUUAUAUUUUGCUACAAAUUCAGUUGUUUUUUUUUGUUGUUCUGGGGAUAGAACCCCAGGCCUCAUGCGUGAACAUUCCCAGCUCCUCGAAUCAGGUGUUUGGUUUUUUUUUUAAUUUUUUUUUUUUUUUUUUAGUUGUAGUUAGACAUAAUACUUUUAUUUAUUUAUUUUUUAUGUGGUGCUGAGGAUUGAACCCAGUACCUUGCACGUGCUAGGCAAGUGCUCUACUGCUGAGCCACAACCCCCUCCAAUCAGGGUUUUUUUUUUUUAAAGAGAGAGAGAGAGAGAGAAUUUUAAUAUUUAUUUUUUUUAGUUUUCGGGGGACACAACAUUUUUGUUUGUAUGUGGUGCUGAGGAUCGAACCCGGGCCGCACGCAUGCCAGGCGAGCGCGCUACAGCUUGAGCCACAUCCCCAGCCUCCCAUCAGGGUUUUUUUAAAACAAUAUUUUUAGUUGUAGAUGGACACAUGCUUUUAUUUUUUUAUUUUAUUCAUUUAUUUUUAUGUGGUGCUGAAGAUCACACCCAGUGACUCACAUGUGCUAGGCAAGCACUCUACCACUGAGCUAUAAUCCCAGCCCCCCAAAUCAGAUUUUGAUUCAGAGCUAGAAAGGGAUGAGAUAAGAACUUUGGGUCAGUCUGGUUCUGUUAGAAAAUAAAAACAAAUUUUCAUUGCCAGUGAGAGGAAAGGAUUUUUCCAUUGAGUUUUCUAGUCAAAGAAGCAAAUUCAUUUCUAUUAGAAUAAUUUUACUAAGGGCUGGAGAUAUACAGCUUAGUGGUAGAACAUUUGCCUAGCAUGCUUCAAGGGCCUGGGUUCAGUCCCCAGUAUUGAAAAUAUAUAUACAUACACACACCUAUCUAUAUGUGUGUAUGUAUAUGUAGAGAAAAAGGGAUACUAUUGAGAAUAAUUUUACUAAAGUAUUUAAUCUCCACUUGUUCCUUCAAACAAACAUUGUUAAUGUUUUUAUUUGCCUUGUUCAAGAAAUACUAAAUGCUCUUUCCCUGGAGACUGUUAAUAGUCUAAUGGAGAAGACUGUUAAAUGACUAUGGUAUGGAAGAGAUUUCAGUGGAAAUUUUUAUGUGAGCAUAGAGAGCACAUAGCUAAAUAAACUUGUUAAUAUAAGGACAAUUUUCUUGGGAAAUACCCUGAUUAGGUCUACAGAGGAUGACUCUGUAUCCUGACUUCAUAGUUUGGAGCCAGAGAAUGAGUGUAAUAGAGAUUGAGCUUAGAGAUUUUGGCAGGAACUUCCUUUGUAAGCUAAUUUGAAUGUUUUCCUGAAAACCAGAGAGACCUAUUAAAUAAUUUUUGGCAGGGGAGCAGCAUGAUUACAGUUCCAUUUUAGAAAGUUUAUAUUAGUGUCAGGGUUCAGCUUGGCAAUGGUGACCCAUGAAGAUGUUGAUGACACUUUGGCGUGUGAGGGAGAGAAGUGAUUAGAACAGGAACUAAGGCAGUGAUAAUGGAAAUGGAAAGAAGAGACUCCUGAUAUUUUAAGGUCUUUAUAAUAUAAAGUCUGAUGUUCAGUACUAGAUGUAUAUACUGUGUAUAGAUCUGGAAUAAAUGGAACUAAAGUUAUGGGUGUGGAUGUAGUCACUGAGGGAGGUAUAUGAAUUGAAAGAAGGAGGCCUGGAUAGAUAAAAACAAAGUGUUAGAGAAUACUUAAAUGUCAAGUAGAGAAAAGUACAUUCUGAGAAGGAAUGGACAGAAUCAUAGGAAGAAAACUAGGAUUGAAUGUGACAGUGGAGACUGAGAUAUAAAUACUAUUAAGAAACCAGCAGCAUCAGGUGCCUUAGAAUGGUCAGAUAAAAUAUUUUGAAAAACAUGUAAAGACAAAUUAAGAAUAUUAACAUCAAACAGAUAUUCAAAAUAAGGCUUCAGACGAAGGUUCACAAUGUUGAAGUGGUAAGAUGUUUAUCUCUUGAUGUUUUCCAUUAAAGCAUCAUUAAAACUAAAGGUUUUUUGAACCUCUAUUUACACUGUUCUGAAUAGUCAAGGAAGUACCUCUCAUACACCAUUUAGAAGUAAAAUGCAAUCCCAAGAAAAUUACAUUUAACAAGAAAUUUUGAUUUCUUGCAAAACUUUUCUCUUUUUGCAGUACGUACGGGGGGUUAAACCCAGGAGCUUUCCAUUCCUAGUCUAUUUUACUUUUAUUUUGAGACAGGAUCUUCUAGCCUUGAACUUCUGGUCCACCUGCUUGAUUCUCCAGAGGGACUGGGAUUACAGGUGCCAUUGGACCUAGUGAAAUGGAAAUCUAAUUAGUGUUUGCUUUGGGGCAUUUCUGUAAGGAGCAUCUUUUAAAAUAAGUUAAUAUAAAUUAGCUUCCACUUCUCAUUCAGCACAAAGUUGUAUGAUUCCCUACAUUGACCUGCUUAGGUUAUCCAGUCCCUGAAUUUUCAGUUUAUAUUUUUUAAAAAUUUGAGCGGCUUUAUUGGUAUCUUAUUGGAAUAGUUAUGCUCUAAAUAGGUACUUUUAAAAUUUAUUCUUUCCUAUAGAUAUGUUAAAAUUUUGAAAGUCAAGCUUAUAUAGGUUCUUAUUGAUUUAAUAAGUUGUUGCUUUAAUCUAUCCUUUUUUUUUAAGAUUUUUAAGACUAUCUAAAUUCUCUUGACAUAUAGAGUGGCAUACUUUUAAAAAAUUUCAGUAUAAAUACAUUUCAGUAUUUAUUGGGUAAAGGAAUGAAUUGGUUUGUGUUGGGACACAACACAGUUUAACUAUAGCUGUAUCAGUUGGCUAAGUCAGUUAACCCCAUUCAGCUUUUCUUGCAUAUAAAAGAUUACAAAUCACCUGUUUUCACUGGGGUUUUGCACAGACAAAAUGAGGUAAUGUUUAUUUAUACUAAUCUUAUAUUUGUGUUUUAUAUUUUUCUUUAUUUUUAAAUAUUUAUUUUUUAGUUGUAGUUGGAUACAAUACUUUGUUUAUUUGUUUAUUUUUAAAUUUUCUAUUUGUUUAAUUAGUUAUACAUGACAGUAGAAUACACUUAUAUACUUUGAUAUAACAUACAUAGAUGGGAGAUAUUUAUUUAUUUUUAUGUGGCGCUGAGGAUGGAACCCAGGGUCUCACAUGUGCUAGGCAAGCGCUCUACCGCUGAGCCACAACCCCAGCCCCUGUGUUUUAUAUUUUUCAAAACAAAUAAAUUACUAUUUAAAAACUGUAACAUCUAAUAUCAAAAGUUAGGUUGCUUUUGAAAAUCAAAAGAAAUCUUUUGUUUUUUGACUUGGAUAUUUAAAGCCAAAGUGAAUCAUGAAUAGAGAAUUGAUGGUUUUAAAGGAUUAGGGGAAAUACGACUUUUCAAUAAUCACCGUUAACCUUACAUAUUUUCCAGAGAUAUGUACAUAAACAAGAUUGUAGAUGUUUUAUUUUCCGGUUUUUCAUACAAAGGACAGCAAUCUGUAUAUAUUCUCUGUGCCUUAAUAUUUUCAUAUACUAUCCUAGAGAUUAUUCCUAUUAAUACAUAAAAGGGGCUACCUUUGCCAGGCAUGGGGGCACAUGCCUGUAAUAAUAAAAGGACUUGGGGGCUGAGGCAGGAGAAUUGUAAGUCUAAGGCUAGGCUUGGCAACUUAAUGAGACCCUGUCUCAAAAUAAAAAUAAAAGGGCUGAGGGAUGUAGCCCAGUCGUAGAGCGUCCCUGUGUUAAAUCCCUAAUACCAACAACAGAAAAGAAGGUCUCACAUUUUUUUUUUUUUUUUUUUGUGGGUAUGUAAUAUUCAUUCAAUUUACCAACACUAUAUAGUGAUCGACAAACCAAAUGAAAGUACCUUAUGGAAUAUAUUUAUUUAGUCUUCUAAUAUCUCAUUGUUUGAUACGUCAUCAUUGCUUAUUUAUUCAAUCUUAUUAUGAACAUUAGGUUGUUUCUAAAAGAAAUGCUGCAACAAGUAAAAUUGUACAAUAGUCCCCCACAUCUGAGGGGGAUGCCUUUCAAAAUCUCUAGUCAUUACCUGAAACAGCAGAUAAUAUUGAGCCCAGUACUUUCUCCCCCCCACCACCCCUCCAGUACCAGGGAUUGAACCCAGGGCUUUGAAUACGCUAGUAAGCACUCCCACCACUGAACUGUGCCACUAGCUAGCCCCUUUUAAAAUUUUAUUUUCAGUCUUGCUAAGUUGCCUAGGCUGGCCUCAAACUUGGGAUCCUUCUGCCUUAGCCUCCCAGUAGCUGGGAUCACAGGUGUUCAACACCUUGCCAGGCUUGAGCCCUGUACUUCCUGUUGUGACACAUUGCCAUUAGUUGGAACAUCUUUUCUGUGUAUGUCUUCCAUCCAUAAAUUUAAUGUAUUUUUCAUCUUAACUAAGUAAUGUAUUGAGGCCAUAAUUUUUAUAAUUUGAGAUGUAAUAGCAAAAUUAGCACCAAUUUCUUUUCCAUCACAGUUUUAGGGAUAGAAGUUUCUUAGAUCUUCAGCAUUAACAUAUACUUUUUUUUUUUUUCUUAUUAGGUUGAGAACUUUACCUUUUCACUUAAUAGAAGCACUUUAUGGCUUCUCUUUGGCAUAUGUAAAUUGCCAGCAUCACUAUUUCGUGUUUUGGGGCUGUUAUUAAGUAAAAUAAUGUUAUUUGAACACAAACACUACCAUAUUCAAUAACUGAUCUCAUAACCAAGGUGGCUGUAAAGUAACUAAUAGUGUAUAUAGUAUUAUACUGGGUGGGCUAGGAUGAGAUUGCAUCAUACUGUUCAGAACAUUGUGAUCAGGCUGGGGAUGUGGCUUAGUGGUAGACAGUUUGUGUGUAUGGUUGGAUCUCGCUGCAGAAUAAACAAUGCAAAAUUUAAAAUUUAAGAUUUGUUUAUUUCUGGAACUUUGCAUUUAAUAUUUUUGUACUGCAGUUGACUAUGAGUAAUUGAAAUGGCAGAACCUGCAACCAUGGAUAAGGUGGUGGUGGGGAAUACUAUAUAUAUAUCAUUUUACUCUAUAGAAAAUUUUUAUUGUAAGGUAAAUCCUGAUAGGUUCAGUUGCUGGGUCAAAAAGGAUAAAUACAAAGGAAUUUGUCAGCUUUGUCAUAUAUGAUAAUAGCUCUAGUGAAGUGUAUUAUAUGAAAAAUGCUUAUAGUUUUGAUUUGAGGACUGUGGAUUAUGUAUCUUUGGGUUAAAGGAUUUAAUAAGUUUUGGAUUAGAAUAAGAUAAAUUGACAUUUAUUGCUUUAGCAAAUAUUAACAAAUGUCUGUUAGGUACUUGGUACUAUUAUAGUGCUGUGGUGAAAAAAUAGGUAUGAUCCCUUCCCUCUUGGAGCUGGGUGUUGGUGAGAUACAUUUUGAUUAAAAUAAGCACUCAGGGUGUAAUUACAAAUGCAUCCAUGGUAGGAGGGAGAGAAAGAGCAAAAGUAUAAGAUGGGGAACAGACCUAGUGUGGGUUGGUGUGUUAAUGAGUGGACAGUCAAAGUCCCUUUCUUGGAGAAAUGAUAUUGUUGUUCAAAUCUAAGUGAUGUGUGGGUGUUAAUUUGUGGAGUGCUUUGUGUAUAGAACAUUCUGUGAAGAGGAAGCAUUCUGGGCAUAAACCCUGAGGUAGAAAGGAAUAUGCAGGACUUUGUAUUUUAAUGAUAGAAGUAUCUUCUAGGCUUUUAUAGAAACCUUUUAUAGGCUUCUUAAUUUUUUGUUUUUAAGCCUUAGUUUCCUCAUUAUAAAACAAAGGAUUUAUUUUUUAUUUUUAAGAUAACUGGAAAUUGAACCCAGGGCCUUUCUUAUGCUAAAAAGUACUCCACUAUUGUGCUAUAUCCUCAUCACUUUUAAAAUUUUUACUUUCAGGUGGGGUCUUGCUGAGUUGCCCAGGCUGUCCUUGAAUUUAAGAUCCUCCUGCCUUAGCUUCUUGUCUAGUUGGGAUUGUAGACCCGUGCCAUGACUAAAGGAAUUUUUGAAAAAUAUUUUCUUAUUUUUAAGACUUGAACUUAACAUAUGUAAAGUUUUGGGGACCCUGCGUGGUACACAUGAAGCACUCAGUAAAUGGUAACUGGUAUUUUUAUGGAAGAUAUCCACAUUCCAUUGUCUUUGACAAAUCAUUUUUGUUUAGUUUAAUAAAGUUGAUAAUGGUGCCUAGAAAUCUUUUUUUUUUUUUUUUGGUACCAGUGAUUGAACCCAGAGCACUUGAGCCACAACCCUUUAAAAAUUUUUUUUUUUAUUUUGAGAUAGGGUCUCACUAAGUCCUUAGGGCCUCUUUAAGUUUGCUAAGGUUGGUUUUGAACUUGUGAUCUUCCUCCCUCAGCCCCCUGAGCUGCCAGAUUACAGGCGUGCACCACCACCAAGCUGGACUAGAAAUCAUUUUAAAAUCCAUUUCUUUACUUGCUAGCAAAGCUUUGUCUAGUAUUUCUUAUUAAAUUGUUACAUAAUUAUUUUUCCAUUCAGAUCAUAGAUACCUCUAAGAUAUGUCUGAAGUGAUGAUUAUUGUGAUAGCUUGUUUUUUGAACUUAGGUUAUUUUUCUAUUCAUUUACUUCCCUUUUGUAUAUUAUUACAUUUCCUAUGAUCAGAUUUGAGAUGAUUGAGUAUUUAGAUGAAGUAAGUUAUUGUGCUGUUUAAUUCUGUUUGUUAAAUAUUUUAAAAAAUGAUCUUGUUUUUGGACCAUCUGCAAUUGAAUUAUACUACAUUUCCAUUUGAAUUUUAGAUAAUUUGCCAUUCUUAUUCAGUUAAUCUCAUGUUUAUUAGAGGGGAUUCCUUUGCCAUUGUUUUAUGUAUCUUUUUAGUAUAUUUGAAUUAUUAAAAAACUUGAUUCUUUAGGGAUUCUUGAAUCUCACUUGGUGAUUUUACUGUUUUAGCACAGUUUAAUAUGACUUAAUAAUAUACACACAAAUUUGUACAUUGGUGUGCUUGCACAUCCAGUUUGCAGGAAUUUUUGUCACUUUUGUUGUCAGUUGUUUACCUACUAUCUGUUAUGUAGUAAGUACUGAACACAUAUUUUUCAAAUGAACGUGCAUUACAGUAUAUGGACAUAAUUUUUUAAAAAAUCUGGUGAGUUAAGCUCAUAAUUUUGCCUUUUUUUGUAUAAUCUUUUAAAAAUUAAAUGUUUUGGGAUCUUUUUAGAUCUGCAGAUUUUGUGUGUGUGUGCAACUUUAUUUUUAUUUUUAUUAGUAUGUGUGUUGUUCUGUGGUACUUGGAUUGAACCCAGUGCCUCUUGCAUGCUUGUAUGGUAGUCAUUUACUCUACCACUGACCUACAUCCCCAGCUUUUUUUUUUUUUUCCUUUGAAGACAGGGGCUCCCUAAAUUGCCCAAGGCUGUCCCCAAAAUGGAAUCUUCCCGCCUUAGCCUCUUUAGUAGCUGGGAUUACAUGUGCAGCUGAUUAUAGGAGGAUGAUACUGUUCCUGGCUCCUGUGCAAUUUUAAGAAAUAAUACAGAGAAUCUCUGUAUUCUGAACCCGUUUUCUCCACUGAUAAUAUCUUGUAAAUAUCAGAACCAGAAUAUUAAAUUGAUAAAGAUACAAAACAUUUCCAUCAUAAAGAUAUUUCACAUUGGUGGGCACAGAGGUACAUGACUGUAUUCCCAGUGACUUGGGAGGCUGAGACAGGAGGAUGACAAGUUCACAGCUAGCCUCAGCAACUUAGGGAGGCCCUGUCUCAAAAAUAAAGGGGGCUGCAGAUGUAGUUUCGUUGUUAAGUGCCCCAGGUUCAAUCCAGAGCCCCCACCCCACCAAAAAGAUAAAUAACUUUGCCUGUUAGUAGCCAUCCCCAGCUUCCCUCCUUCCUGUACCUGUAACUUCCUUCUUAACCCUUGGCAAACAUUAAUGUUCUUUUUGUUAUGAUUCUGUAAUUUUGUCAUUUUAAGAAUCUUAAAUGGGGGCUGGGGAUAUGGCUCAAGCAGUAGUGCGCUCGCCUGGCAUGCGUGCGGCACGGGUUCGAUCCUCAGCACCACAUACAAACAAAGAUGUUCUGUCCGCCGAAAACUAAAAAAAUAAAUAAAUAUUAAAAAAAUUCUCUGUCUCUCAAAAAAAAAAGGCUUAAAUAGCUGGGGUGUAGCUCAACAUAGUUUCUGAGUUUGAUCUCUCCACCAUUGCAACAGGAACAAAAUCUUAUAUAUUACUCCUCUGUGUAAAUGUAAUACAACCCAUUUAAUUAUUUUUUUAAAAAUAUUUUUUAGUUGAUGGACCUUUAUUUUAUUUAUUUGUGGUGCUGAGAAUCGAACCCAGUGCCUCACACAUGCUAGGCAAGCACACUACCACUGAGCCACGACCCCAGUCCCCAUUUAAUUAUACAGAAAUUUUAUGAUGAUACAAAUUGUAUCUCAGUCUAGCUGUUAGAAAAUAGAAUGUUAUUACUGCUAACUAUAUUAUAUUAAUGUUAUAAAUUGAGUUAAACAAAUCUUAGAAUUUAUUUUUUCACUGAACAUAGUUCUGUAGAGAUUCAAGUUGUUUCUUGUGUGUAUCAGUAGUUAUUUGCUUUUAUUGCUGAGUAAUAUUACAUGGUUUGGAUGUAACACAGUUUGCUAAGCUAUUUACCCAUUGAGUAAGUCUGAAAUGGCCAAUUUUUUACUAUUUAUAAGUAAAUUCUGCUGUAAAUAUUUGUGUAUAGGUUUUUAUGUGAGCAUAAACCUUUGUUUCUUUGGGGUAAAUGCCCAAUAGUAUAAUUGUUGGUUAUAUGGUAGUUGCAUGUUUAGUUUUUCAAGAAAAUGCUAAGUUGUUUUCCAUAGUGUCUGCACCUAUAUUGCAGUUUCCUCUGCAGCCUCACCAACAUUUUUUGGUGUUAUUUUAAAUUUUGGCCAUUUUGAUAGGUUUUAAUGAUAUCUUCUGGUUUUAAUUUGUGUUUCUGUAAUGACAAAUGGUGUCAAACAUUAUUUGAUAUGCUUAUUUGCCAUCUCUUUACCUUAGGUAAAAAUGUCUUCAUGUCUUUUGUUCUUGUUUUAGUUGGAUUGUUUGGUUUUUAACUGUUGCUUUGAAACUUCUUUAUAUGUUCUAGAUAUUAGUCCUUCAUCAGAUAAAUGGAUUUACAAAUAUAUUUUCUCAGAUUAUGGUUUUGUUCAUAGAACAAAAGUUUAAAAAGUCUAAGAAGCUAAAAAUCUCAAAUCAACCUCAGUGUGCCAAAAUCAAGGUGGUAGUAGGGCCCUCUUCCCUUCUGAGGCUCUGAUAACACUCCAGAUCUCUGUUUUCACGUUCGCAUGAGUUCUGUGUGUCUAUGUCACAUCUCCCUUUGCUUCUCAUUUAUAAAUAUAUUUAGGAUAGCAGUUAGGGCUCAUUUGGAUAAACCUGGCUAAUUACCUCAUCUCAAAGUUCUCAGUUGAAUCAAAUCUCUUAACCAUAACAUUGCCUUUUCUGGCGAGUUAGAAAGCGCAUGUAUCUUCGGAUGGCUAUUAUUGACUUUAAUACUAUCUGUGAUCUGUUUUGAGGUUUUUGUUUUGUUUGCAGUGCUGGCGAUCAAAUUCAGGCCCUCCAGUGUGCUAGGCAAGUGCUCUGCCAUUAAACUGCAUCACCAGCCCUUGAGUUAGUUUUGUUUAAGGUUGGAAACAAAUUGAGGUUCAUUUUUUUGCCUAUGAUGUCUGGUUGUUCCAGCAUUAUUUAUGAAAAGUGUCUUUCAUUGAACUGCUUGUACUUCUUUGUUAAUCAAUUUUGCAACUAAGAUAUAUUUUUGCCAGCCUCUAGAAUCUUCUUUGAAAGUUAGAGUAUCUACUUUAUAGAGACUUACAGAGCAGCUGCUUUUUAGGGACCUUUUGUUUUUGGUGGUGCUAGGGAUUGAGCCCAGGACCAUUUUUAGAGACUUUUAAAUUAGUUUUGCAUUAAUUAUUUUAUUAUAUAGUUUAUUUCAAUUGGAAAUGUUGAUAUUUUUUCCUUUAUGUCUUUGUAUUUUUAAUUAGUCCUAAGUUAAUUUUAAACCUAUUGCUUUCUUUCUUUUUUUUUUUUUUGAUUAAAAAAAAAUAAAUGACAGCAGAAUGCAUUACAUUUCUUAUUACACGUAUACAGCACAGUUUUUCAUAUCUCUGGUUGUAUAUGAAGUAUGUUGACACCUACUUUAUUUCUUAUAUGAAUGUUUUCAUUGUGUUUUGGGUGAAAUUUCCAGUUUUUAGUAAUGCGAUUAAUAUUUGAAGUGUUAUAAAUUGUUCAACUAAUUUAUUACAUAAUUUUGUGGGAUUAAAUCAGAAUUUUUUUUUUCACUUUUAAUACUGGAAACUGAACCCAGAGGCACUUUACCACUGAUCUACAUCCCCCAGCCCUUUUUUAAUUUUUAAUUUUGAAACAGGGUCUUGCUAAGUUGUCCAGGCUGACCUCAAACUUGUGAUUCUCCUGCUUCAGCCUCCUAAAUAACUGGCAUGAUAGGCUUGUGCCACUGUGUCUGGCUUACCCAGCUUAAACAUUUUAAAUUUUGUUGUUUUUAAAGGAGGAAAGAUUUAAUUAGGUUCAUGAUUUCAGUCCAUUGUUAAUGGGCCUGUGGUAAGCCUGCAUAUCAUGGCAGAAAGGCACAAAGGCUUGGGGGAAUAGUUUACCUCAUAGCCUGGAAAUUUUGGGGGGCAAGGGAGAGUGCAAGUGCCUAGCUUAAACUUUUUUUUUUGAGAGAGAGAGAGGUAAUUUUUUAAUAUUUAUUUUUUAGUUUUCAGGGGACACAACAUCUUUAUUUUAUUUUUAUGUGGGCUGAGGAUAGAACCUAGUACCCCGUGCAUGCCAGGUGAGCGCGCUACCGCUUGAGCCACAUCUCCAGCCCUAGCUUAAACUUUUUAACAUGAAUGUGUUUAUAACCAAUAUAAGCUAUUGUUUUGGGUAUGUGAUAUUUGGAGGCUGCCUCAAUUCCACUUUUUCUAUAGGUCUGUGGUUAUCUGAUUUUGCAUGGUGUGGUGAUUUUUAGGAAUACAUACGUUGGGUGAUAAUAGAAUUGUGUUAUAAUAAAUCUUGUAAUAGAUCUUUCAGAGUCUGUAUGUGUUCACUUUUCCAAGUCUACGAAUCUACAUUUCUGUGUCAUUCAAAAGAAAGUUGGUAUAGACAUUUAGUUAAAGUAACCUUAUGAGAGGUAUUUUCAUGUGGAUAAAAAAACAACCAUGAACUUUAUAUUCACUCUUUAGUCAAACUGAAGUCAGUGGCAGGGGCAUGUGCAAACUGCACAGUCUUGUCUCUUUUUUUUUUGGUACCAGGGAUUAAACUCAGGGGCACUUGACCACUGGCCACAUCCACAUCCCCAUCCCCAUCCCCAACCCUUUUUUGUAUUUUUAUUUAGAGACAGGGUCUUAACUGAGUUGCCUUGUGCCUUGCCAUUGCUGAGGCUGGCUUUGAAUUUGAGAUCCUCUGCCUCAGCCUCCCAAGCUUCUGGGAUCGUAGGUGUGUACCACCACGACCAGCAGUUUGUUUUCUUAAAAUUGAAACAUGUCAUCCUAGGAUCAUUCCUAAUGGUUAAUUAAUUCCAAAAGAGUGAAUUCGGUUAUAUUGGUGAAACUGAUGAUUUUUACAGUUCUGUCAAUAUGAAGUAUAAAUCUCAUUCUGGAGAUUGUGAGGUCCAAGAUUGCCGCAGUCUGGCUGGGCACAAAAAUCACGAGCCACUCAAACAGGAACAAAUUUUAUUUUUGAAACUCCCCCGGAAUUCCCUCCUACCUCACUUCCCCAACCAAUGGGAACUCUCCAGGAGUCCCAUAGCAGGCAGAGGUGGACAGCAGGGGUCUAAUAUCCAUUUGAAUGCAGAUCUUAACAUAAUCAUAUCAUCUCAAUGGCUUGUUGGCAUCACCUUUCAACCAAAAAUGCCAUGCAUCAUUACUACUUGGCUAUGGCUCUUAGCACAAGAUGGCAGGGCUGCAUAUUAUGAGGGUCUUCUUGCUGGUGGAGAUAGUUCCAAGGCCACUGAGGGUAGUGAAUGACAAGAGGGGUGCCUGGGAACUUUUAUUUUUUGAUAGGCAUAGGAUCACAAAUUAAUGAAAAAAAAUGACUAAUUAAGAUAGUUUGGGGGCAGCUUUGCAUGAAACCACUGCAUACAUGUUUUUCAGAUGGAUUAAAAAAUGAAGGGCAAAGCUUUAACUUUUUAGUAAGAAAUGCGGGGAAUGUCUUAUCUUGAAAUAGCAAAGUCCUUAAGAAAGCUAAAUCACGAACUGAAAUUUUAGGGAAGAGUGAUGAAUUUAGACUAUAGUAACAUUUAAAAAUUUUUUAUAUCAGAGGAUCACAGACAAUGUUAAAGACAAAUGAUAGAAUAGUGAUGUGGUCUGUUCAAGUACAACAGAUUGUAUCAGAUAGGUUUUUACAUGUUUUUUUUUCCCCCCCACUCAACAUUAAUGUUUUAUCCCAUCAUCAAAAGGCAUUGGAAGCAAAGUAUACUAAAAGUAAUUGAAUGUAACAAGCCACACAGAAUGCGCAACAACUAUCUUCUUGGUUCAGUUGGUCUUGAGUUCUUGGAAUACCUAUUGCAUUUUUGCCUUUCCUUUGUGCAUUUUACUCUGCUUUCAUAAUUUAUUAGCUCUAACUAUUUAUUCCUCUGCCCCUUUUUAAAGUUCAGGGUAAAGUGUUUAUUAGGAAUGUAGUACUUUAUAAAGCUUUAGUGUGGAGCUAUACAGAAUGCAAAUAUUUUCAGUAUUUCAUAUGUUGUGUAAUAUCAGAAAUGUCUAAAGUAUGUACAGCAAAUGAUUUUAAUUUGGGAUUUAAUUUGGGAUUCUAGGUUGUUGAUCAUUUUCUGUCAGAACUUUGAGCAUCAUUCCAUUCUUUUGUCAUCUGUAAUUGCUCAUGAAGUAUGAUGCUGAUCUAAUUUUCAUUCCUUGGUAAAUGGUCUAUCUUUUACUCCCUCUUGGAAAGCUAUUGGAAGUUGAAAAAAGAUUAUUUAAAAGUUUCCAGUGAUCUGUGUAGGUAUGAGUCUUUUAAAAUUCAUUGUACAGGUUAUUCACUUGUCUCUUAUUCUUUUUUUAUUUUAAAAAAAUAUUUAUUUUUUAGUAGUAGUUGGACUCAAUGCCUUUAUUUUAUUUAUUUAUUUUUAUGUGGUGCUAAAGAUUGAACCCAGGGCCUCACACAUGCUAGGUGAAUGCUCUACCGUGAAGCCACAACCACAGCUCCCAGUUGUCUCUUAUUCUGCAGACAUGUUUGCUUACUGCUGGACUCUGACAUUCUUUUUUUUUUUUUUUUAAGAGAGAGAAUUUUAAUAUUUAUUUUUUAGUUUUUGGCGGACAUAACAUCUUUGUUUGUAUGUGGUGCUGAGGAUUGAACCCGGGCCGCACGCAUGCCAGGCGAGCGCGCUACCUAUUGAGCCACAUCCCCAGCCCCGCCCCCCUUUUUUUUUUUCCAAAAUAAUUUUCCAUUGUCUGUCUUCUGUUUGGUGGUUGUUGGGCUACAGAAUUAGGGAAUCUUAUGGUUUAUUUCUAAAGAAAUUUAUUUUCUUUCUAGCUUUAUUUAUUUUUUUUUAAAUUUUUUUGUGGUACUGGGGAUUGAAUUUAGGGCCCUGUGCUAGGCAAGUGUUUUUUUUGUUUGUUUUUAAACCCAAUUAGAAGAUAAUUUUAAUUUUUCUGUUUUUUAACAAUUUAAUAUAACUCUUAAUUAAGACCUAAUUAAGACCUUAACGUAAGUGUAAUGCACAUAUGAAAAAAGGUCCCUAUUGUAAAUGUCUAGCUCAAUGAAUUUUUUCCAAACUGAGUAUAUCUGUAUAGUCAUCAAACAAAAGAACAUUGAGAGCACACUGAAAAUUUCCCAGUGUAUCUUUCUCCAAGGAAAAUCUCACAUUCUCCAAGAUACCCCAAUGAUGACUUUGAAAAUAUUUUUUUUAGUUGUCAGUGUUCCUUUAUUUUAUUUAUUUAUAGGUGAUGCUGAGAAUUGAACCCAGUACCUCUGCACAUCCCCAGUGUGGGGUAGGGGAGGCGCCUUUUUUUGUUUUUUUUUUUGUAUUUUAUUUAGAGACAGGGUCUUGCUGAGUUGUUUAUGGCCUCAAUAAGUUGCUGAGGCUGGCUUUGAACUUGUGAUCUUCCUGCCUCAGCCUCCCCAAAAUUCAUUGAGCUGGACAUUUAUAAUAGGGGCCUUUUUUCAUAUGCGUAUUACACUUAAGGUCUUAAUUAGAGGUAUCCUUUACAUCUUAAUUAAGAAUUAUAUUUAAUUGUUAUAAAAUAGAAAAAUUAAGUUUAUCUUCUGAUUGGGCUUUAAAAAAUGCUUAAAACAAACAAACAAACAAACAAGCAAAACACUUGCCCAGCACAGGACCCUGAGUUCAAUCCUCAGUACCACAAGGUGUGUGCCACUGGGCCCUACCUGCUUUUUAUAUUUUCAUUCUCAUUAUAGGAACUGUAAUUCAUUUUGUAAAUAAGCCACAAUUUAUUCUUCUAUUGAUAACAUUUAUAUAGUUUUUAGUUUUAAGCUAUUGCAUAUAGUGGGCUGCAAACAUUCUGGGAAUUUUUUUUUUUUUUAUUACAUAUACAAUGCUAUUUGGUAUGUAUUUUGGAGUAGAAUUUCUGGGCUGUAGUAGAUACUGCCAACUGGUUUCUCAAAUGGUUGUAUCAGUUUACACUCUCUACCAUCAAAUAAAUGUUGGUUUACACCUCCCUUUUCAUUUUUAGUGAAGUUAUUUCUUUUUUAGUCUUGUUGAAUAAGUGGAUUUUGAAAUUUUGAUAUCUUUCCUCUUCCUAAAUAAUAACUUUUAUUUGUACAUAUUAAAAUUUUUAAAUAUUCUAUUUAUGGAAGUAUUAAGUUAUCCAGCUUACUAAUUAACUAUUUUUAAUUGCUAUUUCACUUUAUUUCUUGCAUUCGAUUCCAUCUUUUUUAUGCACAAUUCUCUCUUAGCAGUGAGUUUUGCUGAUAUGGACUUUGUUAACAGCUUCGAUUCUGAAUUUAAAGAGGAAGGUUUAGCUUAGUGAUAGUUUUACCUUCAUCUCUAAAUAUUAUCUCUCUUUUAUAGCUUUGGUAGACGUAGCUUCCACAACAGUACUUAAGUCUUGGUUCCUUUUCUCUUACUCUUAAACUCCUUUGAAUUGUAUAUGUUUAAAUUAUUUCUUUAGUACUCUUCCACCUUGUCUGCUCUUCAUAUUCCCUCCAAUUUCAAGAUCAUAUUUCUAAUUGUUUACUGGAUAUUGUGCAUUGAGAUUAUUUUUGUGGUACUUUGAAAUUAACACUUAUACUUUCUAUGCUAGAUAAUUCUUCCAAUAUUUAUUAACUUGGUGAAUACAGUCACCUUUUACUCAGUCUUCCAAGUUAGAAAUCCUACCUUUCUCUCCUACAACUAAUUAUAAUUUUUUUUUUUUUUUUUUUUACCUGGAAUUGAACCCAGGGGCCACUGAGCUACAUUUGCAGACCUUUUUACUUUUUUUUCUUUUGAGAUAGGGUCACACAGAGUUUCUGAGACUGUCCUUGAACUUGUGAUCCUCUUAUCUCAGCCUCCAGAAUCCCUGGGAUUACAGGCAUGCACCUCAGUGCCUGGCUUUUUUUUUUUUUUUAAACAGGAAGCUCUAUCCAAAUGCAGGCAAAAACAUUAAGAUAGUGGGAUAGACAAAGGGGGGAAUGAAGGGAAAGGAGGCUUGGGAUAGGGAAAGACAGUGGAAUGAAUCUAACCUAACUUUAUGUAUAUGAAUAUAUCACAGUGAAUUUCACCAUCAUGUACAUCUAUCAUACACUAAUUAAAAAAAUAAAUAGCAGAAAUAUCAAUAGAGUAUAGAGGGAAAGGAACGGGGGAGGGAGGAGGGCAGGGAAGUACUGGGAACUGAAUUAGACCAAAUUAUUUCAAUGCUUUUAUAAUUAUGUCAAAAUGAGUCCUAUAGUUAGGUAAAAGAGCUAGUUAAAAAAAAAAAAAGAAGUGUUUCUCUAAAACAGAGCUAUUUGUGUUCCUCCCUUUUAAAACCUGUUUUAGUGAAGACCUUAUUGUAGUUUAGACUGUUGUUUCUAAUUAUUGCUUAUUUAAGUGAGGGAGCUAUCUGAUGCUUCCUUCCCUCUUUUUUUUUAAUAUUUAUUUUUUAGUUGUAGUUUGACACAAUAUCUUUAUUUUAUUUAUUUAUUUUUAUAUUUAUUUUAUUUAUGAAGUGCUAAGGAUCGAACCCAGAGCUUCACACACACUAGGCAAGCGCUCUACCACUGAGCCACAACCCCAGCCCCUCUUUUUUUCUUUAUAGUCCCUCAGGUUGAAGAAUACAAAUACUGAGCAAACAAAGUAUUUAAAUAAAAAACUUAUUUAAAAAUUAUAAAUCAUACAGAUAAUAAAUUUAAAAUUUUUAGUUUAAACAAAUUUGUAACAUUAUUUUAUAAUUUGAGCAUUUAUGCUUCUAGAGUUAUCAAAGCUCAAAUGGCACUUAAGACUUUUGGGGUACCCUAGGAACUUUGGUAAGUAUUGAUAUAUCGUGAUCUGAAAUGUUGAAUAGUCAUUUUCCAAUAUCUUCACUGUUACAGUUUUUAUCUGGGAUAUAUCCCUAAAAGCUCAUUGGUUGGACAAUGCAGCAGUGUUCUAAGUUGGAAAGAGUGGAUUAUGGAGUUCUGACUUAAAUCUACUUGAUGUAUAAUAUUUUGAAUGUGUUGGUAACUGGGUAGGUGGAGUUUGCCUGGAGGAGGUAGCCACUUGGGGGUGCAGUCUUGGGGACUAUGUCUUUCCUUGGCCCAUUCCUCUCUGCUUCCUGGCUGCUAUGAAUUGAACAGCUUUCCUCCAUCAUGCCCCUCCACUAUGGUGUUUUGUCUUGGAGCCUGCUAACCAUGGACCAAAUCUCUGAAACUGAGCCCAAAAUAAACUUUUCUUCCUCUAAGUUGUUGUGAGUUGAGGUCACAGUGACAAAAAGUUGACUUAACACACUCAGUUAUAUUGGUUAAUUUAUUGACAUUUUAUAAUUAUGCAUAAUUAUGGGCUAUAAUUAGAUGCUUAUUUUUAUAAUUUUUAAGACUAGUUUCUAGUUUAACAAGUGAAAACUGAUGUCUUGGUCUUAUUUGCUUUGCAUUAUUUUGAUUCCUUGUUCUGGUGAAUAUUAUUAGUGUUUUAAUUUAUGGUCUUAAUUGAUAAUCACUUCUAAUGUCUUUAAUGAUAUUAGCUACUGUUCUACUGUUUGCACUUUCCUGACUCAGUAUUGAAAUCAUGUGAAUAACUCAAUUGUAAAUAUUUUUACUAUUUUAUGGAUUAGGAAACUGAUUUUAGAGGGGAAAAAUGAUUGUUCAGUACUACAUAGUUAGGGAACUCAGAUUCUCAUUUUUUAUUUCAUUGUUCCCUCACUUUUAUUGGUAUAAAUUAGUAAUGUUGAUACAUUUGAUCCCAAAUAUAGACACCUAUAUGGCAGAGCCAGGAUAAGAGCCUGUGAUUUAUCUGGCUCUCUUAAAAGCAAAAUGAUCAAAUGUGGUAAUUAGUGUGAUCAGAGGAGAAUAAAUUAAAAUUUUAUUUAGUUAGUUUGGUUCCACUUAGAAUGUUGGCUGUGGAUGUUAAUGCUAGAAGUGUUCUUAAAUAUUUCUUAAAUUGUAUUCCUUUGUAUAUCAUUGUGGGAAAUUUUUAUAUUUCCUGACCACAUAAGUUUGGGCAACCAUUAUGUUUUUCCUUAGCAGAGGAAACAGUCUGUUCUUCCAGCUUUGCUAAUUAAUCUAUGUAUUCUUAUUUUGGUGGUGCUGGGGAUCAAACUCACUGCCUCACUCAUGCUAGGCAAGUGUUCUAUCACUGUACUUUCUACUUCUAACCCUAUGCAGUCUUGUUUAAUAGACCUAAUCAUAUUUUGUGGGAACAUCUUGAUAUUAUAUCAGUUUGAGGCAAAAGAUGAUAUGGUCCAUCCUUUCAGUUUGUAAGGGGAGAAAAUGGAGAUCCAGUAUAGGUGUGUUUCACACACCUGCUAAAUGGCAGCGCCAGGAUAAGACUCAGUUCUUCCUUUGUACCAUGCUUCCUGUGAUAAUGUUACAUAGUAAUAUUUAUGUUUUCAUAUACUAUUAAACAAUUGUAAAGUAGAUCUGUAGCUGCUUUUAUGUUCUCAUCUAAUCUAGUUAUUAGUCUUAUUCUCUGAGAAAUAACAUAUAUAGUUCUUAAAAUCCUGAGAUGUACUUAUGAAUAGCUUAAUGUACUUAGCAUAAAUAUUUGUCCAGAGUCACUUAUUUAAUCAUAGAAAUAAAAAGAGUACUUUUUUUCUGUAAUUAACAUGUCACAAAUGUUUGAUUUAGUUUCUGUAGAAAAUGUUUCCUGACUGCAAUGAGAGAAAGUGGAAUACAUUGUCCCCUGUGUCGUGGAAAUGUGACUAGAAGAGAAAGAGCGUGUCCAGAACGGGCCUUAGAUCUUGAAAAUAUCAUGAGGAAGUUUUCUGGUAGCUGUAGAUGCUGUGCAAAACAGGUAGAGUAAAUGCUCUUUGAAAGUUAAAAAUUCUACUCUGAAGUUUUCAUUUGAGUGCUCUUGGUGGGUGCUUACACUGUUUUAAAGAGAAAGAUAUUAUUUAGUUUUGGAAUUGAGUAGAAAAGACCAAAAAAAGUUGUGGCUGUAGAUUUUACUAGAUUAUAAGCUUAUUGAGAACAGAGAUUGAAAGAUAAAAUCUCUGAAUUGUCAUACUUUUUAGCAUGGUAUUUCUUGCAAAUAGCUCAUUAAUUACUUGCAAAAUUAAUUGAGCACUUAGUUCAUUUAUACCCAUUGUGGUGGAUUUAAUGUUUAAAUAGUUUUUCUGACAAUAGCAUCAGUAUUGCAGCUUUGUACAUAGAAAUGUUAAUCAUUCGGCCAAAUUGAAGUCAACAAAUUCUCUAGGGUCCUGCUUUAUUUAUGUAUUUAUCUAAGAAAUCACAAAGUAUUUGGCAGAAGACUUUGGUUAAUUUUUAAGUAACAGGUAGAAAAAUCAGGUGUUGGCAAAUAACUGGCAUUUCUUUUCUUUUCUUUUUUUUUAACAGAGAGAGAGAGAGAAUUUUAAUAUUUAUUUUUUAGCUUUCGGCAGACACUACAUCUUUUUUUGUAUGUGGUGCUGAGGAUCGAACCCGGGCCGCAUGCAUGCCAGGCAAGCGCGCUACCGCUUGAGCCACAUCCCCAGCCCCGGCAUUUAUUUUCUUAUCUGUAAUGUAUUGUUCUAUUAUUCAGAGAAGGUGUAAAAUGAUGUGGAGUAACUAGACUUUGAGUAGAUUUAUGUGUCUAUGGAUUUUUUUCUGAAAACUAAUAGUCAGUAAACAAAACUGUUACCAUUUCAUGCAUGCACAUAAAUCAGAUCUGUUUUUCUAUGACUUUAAAGAAGGUGAUAGAGCAAUGGAGUGAAGCUAGAAAACAUACUUGAGAGAUUCUGGCUUUACUCCUCAGUGAGAAACUGAAAAAUGUUUCAUAUAUUGACCUGGGAACUUAAUUUUUUAAAAAAAUGCUUUCUAUUUGUGCUAUAAGUAGUUAAAUAAAGAAAUGCCUAAUAGAAUGAGACAACUUCUUAGUACUUUUGACUUUUUUAAUAUUAGUAGUAUCAUCAUCUCAAGUAUAAAAUUAUUUGUUGAUAUUUUUUGCUGUGACUUUAUAGAAGUAAGGUCAGCACCUAAUAGAAAGGUAUUACCUAUUUUCAACUCUUGCUUAAGAAUUAAAUAAUAUUUUUAAAAAAUAUGUUUUCAUAUACUCUUUAUUUAAAUGAAUUUAAUCUUGUUUAAUUUCAUCAUUUAUUUUAAUCUUUUUUCUCGUUGAGAGUAUCAAAUGUUGUUUUUUUUUUUAACUAAAAACAUUUUAAUCUAUUUACAGAUUAAAUUCUAUCGUAUGAGACAUCAUUAUAAAUCUUGUAAGAAGUAUCAGGAUGAAUAUGGUGUUUCUUCUAUUAUUCCAAACUUUCAGAUAUCUCAAGAUUCAGUAGGGAAUAGGUAAG
rnacentral:lncRNA from 1 species